rnacentral:rRNA from 1 species
UGACGCGAGGCUUGAACUGCCCGUACCCCAAACCGACUCAGGUGGUCAGGUAGAGACUACUAAGGAGAUCGAGAGAAUCUUGGUGAAGGAACUCGGCAAAAUGCCCCCGUAACUUCGGGAGAAGGGGGGCCAUCCGCUUAUACGAACUUGCUUCGGAAAGGGUGUGGUGGCCGCAGAGACCAGUGGGGAACGACUGUUUACUAAAAACACAGGUCCGUGCUAACACGCAAGUGGACGUAUACGGACUGACGCCUGCCCGGUGCUGGAAGGUUAAGAGGAGAGGUUAGCCUUUGGGCGAAGCUUUGAAUUUAAGCCCCAGUAAACGGCGGUGGUAACUAUAACCAUCCUAAGGUAGCGAAAUUCCUUGUCGGGUAAGUUCCGACCUGCACGAAUGGCGUAACGAUUCCCCAGCUGUCUCCACCAUGAACUCGGCGAAAUUGCACUACGAGUAAAGAUGCUCGUUACGCGCAGAAGGACGGAAAGACCCCGUGACCUUUACUACAGCUUGGUAUUGGUAUUUGGUGUGGCUUGUGUAGGAUAGGUGGGAGACUGUGAAGCUUGGACGCUAGUUCAGGUGGAGUCAUUGUUGAAAUACCACUCUGGUCAUACUGGAUGUCUAACUGUGAACCCUGAUCGGGUUUUAGGACAGUGCCUGGUGGGUAGUUUAACUGGGGCGGUUGCCUCCUAAAGAGUAACGGAGGCGCCCAAAGGUUCCCUCAGCCUGGUUGGUAAUCAGGAGGCGAGUGUAAGUGCACAAGGGAGCUUGACUGUGAGACUGACAGGUCGAGCAGGGACGAAAGUCGGGACUAGUGAUCCGGCAGUGGCUUGUGGAAGCGCUGUCGCUCAACGGAUAAAAGGUACCUCGGGGAUAACAGGCUGAUCUUGCCCAAGAGUCCAUAUCGACGGCAUGGUUUGGCACCUCGAUGUCGGCUCGUCGCAUCCUGGGGCUGGAGUUGGUCCCAAGGGUUGGGCUGUUCGCCCAUUAAAGCGGUACGCGAGCUGGGUUUAGAACGUCGUGAGACAGUUCGGUCCCUAUCCUCUGCGCGCGUUGGAAAUUUGAGAGGAUCUGACCCUAGUACGAGAGGACCGGGUUGGACGAACCUCUGGUGUGCCAGUUGUUCUGCCAAGGGCAUGGCUGGUUGGCUACGUUCGGGAUGGAUAACCGCUGAAAGCAUCUAAGCGGGAAGCCGGCCUCAAGAUGAGAUUUCCAUACACUUCGGUGUGAGAGGCUCCCAGGAGAUUACUGGGUUGAUAGGCCAGAUGUGGAAGCGCUGUAAGGUGUGGAGCUGACUGGUACUAAUAAGCCGAUGACGAA